GACGAACGCUGGCGGCGUGCCUAAUACAUGCAAGUAGAACGCUGAAGCUUGGUGCUUGCCCCGAGCGGAUGAGUUGCGAACGGGUGAGUAACGCGUAGGUAACCUGCCUGGUAGCGGGGGAUAACUAUUGGAAACGAUAGCUAAUACCGCAUAAGAGUAGAUGUUGCAUGACAUUUGCUUAAAAGGUGCAAUUGCAUCACUACCAGAUGGACCCGCGUUGUAUUAGCUAGUUGGUGAGGUAACGGCUCACCAAGGCAACGAUACAUAGCCGACCUGAGAGGGUGAUCGGCCACACUGGGACUGAGACACGGCCCAGACUCCUACGGGAGGCAGCAGUAGGGAAUCUUCGGCAAUGGACGGAAGUCUGACCGAGCAACGCCGCGUGAGUGAAGAAGGUUUUCGGAUCGUAAAGCUCUGUUGUAAGAGAAGAACGAGUGUGAGAGUGGAAAGUUCACACUGUGACGGUAUCUUACCAGAAAGGGACGGCUAACUACGUG
rnacentral:rRNA from 1 species